UAACAUCCGGAAACGGGUGCUAAUACCGCAUAGUUUUCUUGAUCGCAUGAUUGAGUAAGGAAAGAUGGCCUUUGUGCUGUCGCUUAUGGAUGGACCCGCGGCGUAUUAGUUAGUUGGUGAGGUAACGGCUCACCAAGACGAUGAUACGUAGCCGACCUGAGAGGGUGAUCGGCCACAUUGGGACUGAGACACGGCCCAAACUCCUACGGGAGGCAGCAGUAGGGAAUCUUCCGCAAUGGACGAAAGUCUGACGGAGCAACGCCGCGUGAGUGAAGAAGGUUUUUUCCGGAUCGUAAAACUCUGUUGUCAGAGAAGAACAAGUUGGAGAGUAACUGCUCCAGCCUUGACGGUAUCUGACCAGAAAGCCACGGCUAACUACGUGCCAGCAGCAGC
rnacentral:rRNA from 1 species